AUCCUGGCUCAGAACGAACGCUGGCGGCAUGCCUAACACAUGCAAGUCGAACGAACUCUUCGGAGUUAGUGGCGCACGGGUGCGUAACGCGUGGGAAUCUGCCCUUGGGUACGGAAUAACUCAGAGAAAUUUGUGCUAAUACCGUAUAAUGACUUCGGUCCAAAGAUUUAUCGCCCAAGGAUGAGCCCGCGUAAGAUUAGCUAGUUGGUGGGGUAAAGGCCUACCAAGGCUACGAUCUUUAGCUGGUCUGAGAGGAUGAUCAGCCACACUGGGACUGAGACACGGCCCAGACUCCUACGGGAGGCAGCAGUGGGGAAUAUUGGACAAUGGGCGAAAGCCUGAUCCAGCAAUGCCGCGUGAGUGAUGAAGGCCUUAGGGUUGUAAAGCUCUUUUACCCGGGAUGAUAAUGACAGUACCGGGAGAAUAAGCUCCGGCUAACU
rnacentral:rRNA from 1 species